rnacentral:misc_RNA from 1 species
AACGUAGGACGCGAACGUUAUCCGGAAUUACUGGGCGUAAAGCGCGCGCAGGUGGGUGAACAAGUCAUGCGUGAAAGCUCCCGGCUAAACUGGGAGAGGUCGGAUGAUACUGUUCGUCUAGAGUAUGUUAGAGGCGUGUGGAAUUCCGCGUGUAGUGGUGAAAUGCGUAGAGAUGCGGAGGAACACCAGUGGCGAAGGCGGCACGCUGGGACAUUACUGACACUGAGGCGCGAAAGCAUGGGUAGCGAACGGG